rnacentral:lncRNA from 1 species
UCAGGAUGUGUACCUGGAUUUUUGAAUAACAAAGCAAAUAACAAAAGUCAGCAGCAACUCGCAAAUCAAUCAACCAAACACAAGUGCUCAGCCCAGAAAUGGAAUCAAAGCCCAGGAUAAGUUGAAAACCAACAUAAAUAGCAAAUAACCAAGCCAAUGGACUCAAAUGCACCUAAUUUCAACCCCCCAGUGGCUAUGAAAUCCCUUUCAAAGCACCUCACUACUUCAAUAAACCCAAAACUUGACUGAAACCGACCAGAAAUUCUUUGGACUAUCAAAUCACUUGGAGAUGAACUGAAAACUUCAAUGGAACGGUAAUUUCUUCAUUUUUUUUAGUUUUUCUAGAGAUAUAUACUAUUUUUGGAUUUUUUUAUUUUAAUUCAAAAGGCUAAAUCUGAAACUGAAAAAUGAAGGAGAAAGAGUUGUGUAUGAGAUUUUUAGGGCUGAAAGUUGAAGACCUUUCCUCAAGGCACUUGAUACUCUUUU